UACGUAGGGGGCAAGCGUUAUCCGGAUUUAUUGGGCGUAAAGAGCUCGUAGGCGGCCGUUCGCGUCGGAUGUGAAAGCUCAGGCUCAACUCUGAGACGCCAUUCGAUACGGGACGGCUAGAGGUAGGUAGGGGAAAGUGGAAUUCCUGGUGUAGCGGUGAAAUGCGCAGAUAUCAGGAGGAACACCGGUGGCGAAGGCGGCUUUCUGGGCCUUACCUGACGCUGAGGAGCGAAAGCUGGGGGAGCGAACGGG
rnacentral:rRNA from 1 species